rnacentral:rRNA from 1 species
CCUACGGGUGGCAGCAGUGAGGCAUCUUGGUCAAUGGCCGGAAGGCUGAACCAGCCAUGCCGCGUGAAGGUCAGUGCCCUAUGGGCGUUAAACUUCUUUUUUUCUUUCUCCCUCCUCUUCCCCUUUUGCCCGCCGCGCGUCCCGUCCGCCUCCGCCUCGGCUCCCUCCGUGCCCGCCGCCGCGGUCCUCCUUGGGAUGCACGCGUUCUCCUGAUUUAUUUUUUUUCCCGGGUGCGUCUUCUUUGAGUUCAGUCAGCGGUGAAAUGCCCCCGCUCAACGGGGUGAAGUGCCAUUGAUACUGCCUUGCUGGAAUGCGGAUGCCGUGGGAGGAAUGUGUGGUGUAGCGGUGAAAUGCAUAGAUAUCACACAGAACACCGAGGGCGAAGGCAUCUCACGAAUCCGCGAUUGACGCGGAUGCACGAAAGCGUGGGUAUCAAACAGGAUGAGAGACCCCAGUAGUC